UGGAGCGGGUGCAUGAUCGCCGGUUUCCCCGGAAACCGGAGGAAAGUCCGAACUCCAUAGGGCAGGGUGGUUCGUAACGCGAACUGGGGGCGACCCCAAGGAAAGUGCCACAGAAAACAAACCGCCCCGCUACGGCGGGGUAAGGGUGAAAAGGUGAGGUAAGAGCUCACCGCUUUCGUGGCGACACGGAAGGCAUGGUAAACCCCACCCGGAGCAAGACCAAAUAGGGAAACGUUCGAGGGCUGCCCGUCCGAUGUUUCCGGGUAGGUCGCACGAGGUGCCGGGCGACCGGCAUCCCAGAGAAAUGAUCAUGGCCCCGUACGGGGAACAGAAUUCGGCUUACAACCCGCUCCAAAAU
rnacentral:RNase_P_RNA from 1 species